rnacentral:lncRNA from 1 species
CAAUUCAGCAAAACACAAUCUCCAACAAAUUAGAAAGCUAGAACAGAAACAGAUUAAACCAACAGAAGCAAGAUAGCUAAGCAACUUGCCUUUAGUUCAAGACUCCUAAGAGCAAUGUUUCUGCUACUGCAUAAUCAAUUAAACUCUUGUUCAAGCUAAUAAUCCCAACAAUUCAGCUCUGCACACAAGUCUCACAACAA